AAUUCUCAACUACACUGACUUUGAAUUGGUGUGGCUUGGAUUUGGGGAAAGAACAUUGUUGUAGGCUUUUUUGUAUAGUCUGCUCUCCUGAAAUUGAUUAGCGGUACCUUUGUGGAACUGUCUACAGGUGUGAUAAUUAUCUACAUCAUAGACAUCUGCUGGAAUGCUGCUUUCUAAACCUUACUUGUCUUGACAA
rnacentral:misc_RNA from 1 species